rnacentral:rRNA from 1 species
GACGAACGCUGGCGGUGUGCCUAAUACAUGCAAGUCGAGCGCAGGAAACCGUCUGAACCCUUCGGGGGGACGACGGUGGAAUGAGCGGCGGACGGGUGAGUAACACGUAAAGAACCUGCCCACGGGUCUGGGAUAACCAUGAGAAAUCGGGGCUAAUACCGGACGGGUCAUCGGACCGCAUGGUCCGAGGAUGAAAGGCGCUCCGGCGUCGCCCGUGGAUGGCUUUGCGGUGCAUUAGCUAGUUGGUGGGGUAACGGCCCACCAAGGCGACGAUGCAUAGCCGACCUGAGAGGGUGAUCGGCCACACUGGGACUGGGACACGGCCCAGACUCCUACGGGAGGCAGCAGUAGGGAAUCUUCCACAAUGGACGAAAGUCUGAUGGAGCAACGCCGCGUGAACGAUGAAGGCCCUCGGGUCGUAAAGUUCUGUUGUAAGGGAAGAACAAGUGCCGCAGGCAAUGGCGGCACCUUGACGGUACCUUGCGAGAAAGCCACGGCUAACUACGUGCCAGCCGCCGCCGUAAGAC